rnacentral:rRNA from 1 species
AACGAACGCUGGCGGCAGGCUUAACACAUGCAAGUCGAACGGUUGUAGCAAUACAGCAGUGGCAGACGGGUGAGUAACACGUGGGAACCUUCCUAGGGGUACGGAACAACUCAGGGAAACUUGAGCUAAUACCGUAUACGUCCGUGAGGAGAAAGAUUUAUCGCCCCUAAACGGGACCGCGUAGGAUUAGGUAGUUGGUGAGGUAACGGCUCACCAAGCCUACGAUCCUUAGCUGAUGUGAGAGGAUGAUCAGCCACACUGGGACUGAGACACGGCCCAGACUCCCACGGGAGGCAGCAGUGGGGAAUCUUGGACAAUGGGCGCAAGCCUGAUCCAGCCAUGCCGCGUGAGUGAAGAAGGCCUUCGGGUUGUAAAGCUCUUUUACCAGGGACGAUAAUGACGGUACCUGGAGAAUAAGCCCCGGCAAACUUCGUGCCAGCCGCCGCAGUAA